rnacentral:rRNA from 1 species
GAUGAACGCUGGCGGCGUGCCUAAUACAUGCAAGUCGAGCGAACAGACGAGGAGCUUGCUCCUUCGACGUUAGCGGCGGACGGGUGAGUAACACGUAGGUAACCUACCUAUAAGACUGGGAUAACUUCGGGAAACCGGAGCUAAUACCGGAUAAUAUUUCGAACCGCAUGGUUCGAUAGUGAAAGAUGGCUUUGCUAUCACUUAUAGAUGGACCUGCGCCGUAUUAGCUAGUUGGUAAGGUAAUGGCUUACCAAGGCAACGAUACGUAGCCGACCUGAGAGGGUGAUCGGCCACACUGGAACUGAGACACGGUCCAGACUCCUACGGGAGGCAGCAGUAGGGAAUCUUCCGCAAUGGGCGAAAGCCUGACGGAGCAACGCCGCGUGAGUGAUGAAGGUCUUCGGAUCGUAAAACUCUGUUAUUAGGGAAGAACAAACGUGUAAGUAACUGUGCACGUCUUGACGGUACCUAAUCAGAAAGCCACGGCUAACUACGUG